rnacentral:lncRNA from 1 species
GUGUUUCCAUAAACACACAAGAUAAAGAGAAACAUGUCAGCUGAGGUCAAAAUUGAUAUUACGUCUCCCGUUAUCAGACUGACGAAAAGCCAUAGAUAUUUAACAAGGAGAAGCGAAAGAUACUAAACAGACAUCCAAACUCAUUAGUAGAAAAUUAACAGAAUACGCCACGGUUGAAAAUGUCAAACAAGUAAACAAUCGUAGUACACACCAACACAGAAAAAUAAAUACUGAGCAUCACGAACC